ensembl:lncRNA
GGUGCAUUGUUGUUGGCCAAGCUCCAAAAAUCAUAAUAGGAAAGGGAAAAAAGAAACUAUUUAGAAGAUGAUUAUCCAAAUAUCCAAGGCAUUCUCUAGGUAAUGAAUCCAUAUUGAGUGAGACUAGCAUUUGGAACACUAAUGUAAGGGGAAGAGAAAAUGAACAAUUCCCAUUAAACAUGAAAACCAGCCUGAGAUGCUGGCUCCCUCCCACACAACCAAGCUGGAAGAACCACAGAAAGAAGAAGCAGGACUGGAUUUGGAGAGCUAACAUAAAACUGUGGGGAAGCCCUUAGUAGACUGAAUGUGGGUGGGGCAGCAGGUAUGAGCAAAGUGAUCAAAGAAGCUCCCAAGUUCUGCCCUUGCCACUACCUUCAGGAGAUAAUCUCCUGCCUUACUGUGGAAAAGAAGACAAUGACAUUAGCCAGAUGGUCAGUGGGACAAGGGUAAAACCAGAACAGUGCAACACUCUGUGGAGUGACAUACUGCUGGGUUGGUCAGCCGGUCUUGAGCUUCACUCCUCUGCUGGUGGCUCAGGCAGUAAAGAAUCCUCCUGUGCUGCAGGAGACCUGGGUUCAAUUCCUGGGCAGGGAAGAUUCCUUAGAGAAGGAAAUGGCAACCCUCUCCAGUAUUCUUGCCUGGAAAUUCCAUGGACAGAGGAGCCUGGCGGGCUACCAUCCAUGAUGUCACAAUAUUUGGACACGAUCAAGCAAGUAAACCACCAAACCACUGCCUCCAUGCCCUCUCACCUCAAGGUUGGUGGGUCACAUCAAAAGCUACGUUCUUCAAAUUUGACUUCCAUUCACAAUGAGAGGACACAUUUCAUGUGGUGACUCAGUAAACAUAUAGCCCUGAAUAAAUGAAACAAAAUUUCACAGAAGAAUGUGCUUCCUAUUGGGAUACCCUCCACUUUUUUUCAGCCUAUUUUGUUCUAUUCCAUUCUAUUUUUUCUCCCUCUCCGCCCCUUCUCCUUCCUCCUCCAUCUGCUUCUCCUCCUCGUUUUCCUCCUUGUUCUUCAUGUUCUGUCCUUCUUGUUCUUCCUCCUCUCUCUUCCCUCCUCCUCCCCAUACCUACACUGGCUGACUCACUAAACUGUUCAUCAUCCAUUAAUGGGUUGCUACCCAGAGUUUGAAAAGCUUAUCCACAGUGAUCACUUCCUUCCAAGGGUACUUUCUCAGAACAUUUAAAAGAGGAUUCUGGCCAGAGUUGUGGCCUGUGAAGGGGCAAAAAAUUGAGGUAAGAUGCUGUAGUUCUGGGGAACUUGGAUACUCUGCCUUGGAGCUCAUCUCUGACCCUUUCUAGGAGCUCCAUCAAUCUAGAGCCCCUCCUAGUAACCAGACACCUGUUACUAAAGGGGAAAAAAAGGAGUUUUAU